AGCACUAUUUCCACACUCACAACUCUCUCCACCCCCAGGGGGCCAGCCCUCUUUCAUCAAAGCCGGCUCCCAAGCAGAAGUAUUGUUUGGCAGGUCACCGGCAUCGGCCACGCUAUGUGGGACACGCCCACAAAACGCCAUCAGAAAGCUGCCAGAAGAUAACCACUUCCCUUAUUAAUGUUGUAGCUCCUAUUCUUCUCCCGCCUGCUCUGCGUGGAAAGCGAGGAAUAAUGAAUAAAACAGAAACGAAUUUUCUAUGAAUUACACCAAGAAUGGAGUGACUGAUAAAACACUGUAGUGCACACACACGUUAUGCCAGGGAGUGGAGCCACGCUGAAAACGCCCCCUCCGUUCCUCAGCUGGGACCCUCAGGCCCACGGGCAGACGUUUGUUUUCUCCAGUCACACAGCACCUUCAGUGUGACCCAAGGAUUUCCAGUUUUUAUUUUGUGUGCUGCAGGAAUUGUUUGCUGUGCAACGAUAACUUCUCACAUAUACAAACACGCGUACACGA